AUUGAACGCUGGCGGCAUGCCUUACACAUGCAAGUCGAACGGCAGCAUGAUCUAGCUUGCUAGAUUGAUGGCGAGUGGCGAACGGGUGAGUAAUACAUCGGAACGUGCCCUGUAGUGGGGGAUAACUAGUCGAAAGAUUAGCUAAUACCGCAUACGACCUGAGGGUGAAAGUGGGGGACCGCAAGGCCUCAUGCUAUAGGAGCGGCCGAUGUCUGAUUAGCUAGUUGGGGAGGUAAAGGCUCACCAAGGCGACGAUCAGUAGCUGGUCUGAGAGGACGAUCAGCCACACUGGGACUGAGACACGGCCCAGACUCCUACGGGAGGCAGCAGUGGGGAAUUUUGGACAAUGGGCGAAAGCCUGAUCCAGCAAUGCCGCGUGUGUGAAGAAGGCCUUCGGGUUGUAAAGCACUUUUGUCCGGAAAGAAAUGGCUCUGGUUAAUACCUGGGGUCGAUGACGGUACCGGAAGAAUAAGGACCGGCUAACUACGUG
rnacentral:rRNA from 1 species